rnacentral:rRNA from 1 species
UGGGGAAUCUUAGACAAUGGGGGAAACCCUGAUCUAGCCAUGCCGCGUGAGCGAUGAAGGCCUUAGGGUUGUAAAGCUCUUUCAGCUGGGAAGAUAAUGACGGUACCAGCAGAAGAAGCCCCGGCUAACUCCGUGCCAGCAGCCGCGGUAAUACGGAGGGGGCUAGCGUUGUUCGGAAUUACUGGGCGUAAAGCGCACGUAGGCGGAUUAGUCAGUCAGAGGUGAAAUCCCAGGGCUCAACCCUGGAACUGCCUUUGAUACUGCUAGUCUUGAGGUCGAGAGAGGUGAGUGGAAUUCCGAGUGUAGAGGUGAAAUUCGUAGAUAUUCGGAGGAACACCAGUGGCGAAGGCGGCUCACUGGCUCGAUACUGACGCUGAGGUGCGAAAGCGUGGGGAGCAAAACAGGAUUAGAUACCCUGGUAGUCCACGCCGUAAACGAUGAAUGCCAGUCGUCGGGUUGCAUGCAAUUCGGUGACACACCUAACGGAUUAAGCAUUCCGCCUGGGGAGUACGGUCGCAAAGAUUAAAACUUAAAUGAAUUGACGGGGUCAUAGCUGUUUCCUG